UACGUAGGGUCCGAGCGUUGUCCGGAAUUAUUGGGCGUAAAGAGCUCGUAGGCGGUUUGUCGCGUCUGCUGUGAAAUCCCGAGGCUCAACCUCGGGCCUGCAGUGGGUACGGGCAGACUGGAGUGCGGUAGGGGAGAAUGGAAUUCCUGGUGUAGCGGUGGAAUGCGCAGAUAUCAGGAGGAACACCGAUGGCGAAGGCAGUUCUCUGGGCCGUAACUGACGCUGAGGCGCGAAAGCUAGGGGAGCAAACAGG
rnacentral:rRNA from 1 species